rnacentral:rRNA from 1 species
UGGGGAAUAUUGGACAAUGGGCGAAAGCCUGAUCCAGCCAUGCCGCGUGUGUGAAGAAGGUCUUCGGAUUGUAAAGCACUUUAAGUUGGGAGGAAGGGCAGUAAGCGAAUACCUUGCUGUUUUGACGUUACCGACAGAAUAAGCACCGGCUAACUCUGUGCCAGCAGCCGCGGUAAUUCAGAGGGUGCAAGCGUUAAUCGGAAUUACUGGGCGUAAAGCGCGCGUAGGUGGUUCGUUAAGUUGAAUGUGAAAGCCCCGGGCUCAACCUGGGAACUGCAUCCAAAACUGGCGAGCUAGAGUAGGGCAGAGGGUGGUGGAAUUUCCUGUGUAGCGGUGAAAUGCGUAGAUAUAGGAAGGAACACCAGUGGCGAAGGCGACCACCUGGGCUCAUACUGACACUGAGGUGCGAAAGCGUGGGGAGCAAACAGG